GACCUCAAAUCAGGUAAGAACACCCGCUGAACUUAAGCAUAUCAAUAAGCGGAGGAAAAGAAAAUAACAAUGAUUCCCCUAGUAACUGCGAGUGAAGAGGGAUAAGCUCAAAUUUUAAAUCUAUCGGGUUUUACCUGAUCGAGUUGUAAUUUGAAGAGGCGUUUUCUGCGUGUUUGGUCAGCCUAAGUCCUAUUGAAUGAGGCAUCAUGGAGGGUGAUAAUCCCGUCCGGUUGAUCAUUUGCGUUUUACGAUACGCUUUCUAAGAGUCAAGUUGUUUGGGAUUGCAGCUUAAAAUGGGAGGUAAAUUUCUCCUAAGGCUAAAUAACGGCGAGAGACCGAUAGCGAACAAGUACCGUGAGGGAAAGAUGAAAAGAACUUUGAAAAGAGAGUUAAACAGUACGUGAAAUUGUUGAAAGGGAAACGAUUGAAGCCAGUCGUACCUUCGGGUAAUCAGCCUUUCGGGUGCGAUUCUGUGGAGUGUGAGGAGCUUAACACCUUCAUGCUUUGCAUAUUUGUGCUCUUGGGUGUACUUGCCCGUGUGGUUGGUUAACAUCAAUUUUGGUUAUCAUAAAAUGAUUGGAGGAAUGUAGCUUCGAUCUUGUAUUGAAGUGUUAUAGCCUUCGGUAAAUGUGAUGAACGAGAUUGAGGAUUGCAACGGAUACCCUUCGGGGCUACCUGUCUGGUCUCUGAUCGUUGCUCUGGUGCCGAAAGCUUGCUUACGGUCAUCAAAGUCGAUGGUCAAUAGGUUAGAACGGGUUAAAUUCGUUAAGGACGUUGACGUAAUGGCUUUAAACGACCCGUCUUGAAACACAGACCA
rnacentral:rRNA from 1 species